rnacentral:rRNA from 1 species
AAUCCAUAGGUUAAUGAGGCGAACCGGGGGAACUGAAACAUCUAAGUACCCCGAGGAAAAGAAAUCAACCGAGAUUCCCCCAGUAGCGGCGAGCGAACGGGGAGGAGCCCAGAGCCUGAAUCAGCAUGUGUGUUAGUGGAAGCGUCUGGAAAGGCGCGCGAUACAGGGUGACAGCCCCGUACACAAAAGCGCAUGUGCUGUGAGCUCGAUGAGUAGGGCGGGACACGUGGUAUCCUGUCUGAAUAUGGGGGGACCAUCCUCCAAGGCUAAAUACUCCUGACUGACCGAUAGUGAACCAGUACCGUGAGGGAAAGGCGAAAAGAACCCCGGCGAGGGGAGUGAAAAAGAACCUGAAACCGUGUACGUACAAGCAGUGGGAGCACCCUUUGGGUGUGACUGCGUACCUUUUGUAUAAUGGGUCAGCGACUUAUAUUCUGUAGCAAGGUUAACCGAAUAGGGGAGCCGGAGGGAAACCGAGUCUUAACCGGGCGUUAAGUUGCAGGGUAUAGACCCGAAACCCGGUGAUCUAGCCAUGGGCAGGUUGAAGGUUGGGUAACACUAACUGGAGGACCGAACCGACUAAUGUUGAAAAAUUAGCGGAUGACCUGUGGCUGGGGGUGAAAGGCCAAUCAAACCGGGAGAUAGCUGGUUCUCCCCGAAAGCUAUUUAGGUAGCGCCUCGUGAAUUCAUCUCCGGGGGUAGAGCACUGUUUCGGCUAGGGGGCCAUCCCGGCUUACCAACCCGAUGCAAACUGCGAAUACCGGAGAAUGUUAUCACGGGAGACACACGGCGGGUGCUAACGUCCGUCGUGAAGAGGGAAACAACCCAGACCGCCAGCUAAGGUCCCAAAGUCAUGGUUAAGUGGGAAACGAUGUGGGAAGGCCCAGACAGCCAGGAUGUUGGCUUAGAAGCAGCCAUCAUUUAAAGAAAGCGUAAUAGCUCACUGGUCGAGUCGGCCUGCGCGGAAGAUGUAACGGGGCUAAACCAUGCACCGAAGCUGCGGCAGCGACACUGUGUGUUGUUGGGUAGGGGAGCGUUCUGUAAGCCUGCGAAGGUGGCCUGUGAGGGUUGCUGGAGGUAUCAGAAGUGCGAAUGCUGACAUAAGUAACGAUAAAGCGGGUGAAAAGCCCGCUCGCCGGAAGACCAAGGGUUCCUGUCCAACGUUAAUCGGGGCAGGGUGAGUCGACCCCUAAGGCGAGGCCGAAAGGCGUAGUCGAUGGGAAACGGGUUAAUAUUCCCGUACUUGGUGUUACUGCGAAGGGGGGACGGAGAAGGCUAUGUUGGCCGGGCGACGGUUGUCCCGGUUUAAGCGUGUAGGUGUGUGUUCCAGGUAAAUCCGGUUCACUUUAACACUGAGGCGUGACGACGAGGCACUACGGUGCUGAAGCAACAAAUGCCCUGCUUCCAGGAAAAGCCUCUAAGCAUCAGGUAACAUCAAAUCGUACCCCAAACCGACACAGGUGGUCAGGUAGAGAAUACCAAGGCGCUUGAGAGAACUCGGGUGAAGGAACUAGGCAAAAUGGUGCCGUAACUUCGGGAGAAGGCACGCUGACACGUAGGUGAAGUGAUUUACUCAUGGAGCUGAAGUCAGUCGAAGAUACCAGCUGGCUGCAACUGUUUAUUAAAAACACAGCACUGUGCAAACACGAAAGUGGACGUAUACGGUGUGACGCCUGCCCGGUGCCGGAAGGUUAAUUGAUGGGGUCAGCGCAAGCGAAGCUCCUGAUCGAAGCCCCGGUAAACGGCGGCCGUAACUAUAACGGUCCUAAGGUAGCGAAAUUCCUUGUCGGGUAAGUUCCGACCUGCACGAAUGGCGUAAUGAUGGCCAGGCUGUCUCCACCCGAGACUCAGUGAAAUUGAACUCGCUGUGAAGAUGCAGUGUACCCGCGGCAAGACGGAAAGACCCCGUGAACCUUUACUAUAGCUUGACACUGAACAUUGAGCCUUGAUGUGUAGGAUAGGUGGGAGGCUUUGAAGUGUGGACGCCAGUCUGCAUGGAGCCGACCUUGAAAUACCACCCUUUAAUGUUUGAUGUUCUAACGUGGACCCGUUACCCGGGUUGCGGACAGUGUCUGGUGGGUAGUUUGACUGGGGCGGUCUCCUCCUAAAGAGUAACGGAGGAGCACGAAGGUUGGCUAAUCCUGGUCGGACAUCAGGAGGUUAGUGCAAUGGCAUAAGCCAGCUUGACUGCGAGCGUGACGGCGCGAGCAGGUGCGAAAGCAGGUCAUAGUGAUCCGGUGGUUCUGAAUGGAAGGGCCAUCGCUCAACGGAUAAAAGGUACUCCGGGGAUAACAGGCUGAUACCGCCCAAGAGUUCAUAUCGACGGCGGUGUUUGGCACCUCGAUGUCGGCUCAUCACAUCCUGGGGCUGAAGUAGGUCCCAAGGGUAUGGCUGUUCGCCAUUUAAAGUGGUACGCGAGCUGGGUUUAGAACGUCGUGAGACAGUUCGGUCCCUAUCUGCCGUGGGCGCUGGAGAACUGAGGGGGGCUGCUCCUAGUACGAGAGGACCGGAGUGGACGCAUCACUGGUGUUCGGGUUGUCAUGCCAAUGGCACUGCCCGGUAGCUAAAUGCGGAAGAGAUAAGUGCUGAAAGCAUCUAAGCACGAAACUUGCCCCGAGAUGAGUUCUCCCUGAGACUUAGAGUCUCCUGAAGGAACGUUGAAGACGACGACGUUGAU